AUGUAGCCAUAAACUGCCUUGCACGGGUCCCACGUUCUCACCACACAACCCUCACCCUCGUUUCCAAACCAAUCCAUUCUCUCCUCUCUUCUUCGCUCUUCUUCACCGCUCGCUCUCUCAUCCCUUCCACCCAACACAUCCUCUACCUCUCUCUCCGCACACGCUCCACCUCUCUCCAAUUCUUCACCCUCCACAAUAACCACCGUCUCCUCCCUCUCCCUCCUCUUCCCUCCCCUACCAUCGGGUCCGCCUACGCUGUCAUCCACCAC
rnacentral:lncRNA from 1 species